UGACUCGUUAGCUCAGUUGGUAGAGCAUUUGACUUUUAAUCAAAGGGUCGCUGGUUCGAGCCCAGCACGGGUCACUA
rnacentral:tRNA from 2 species